rnacentral:lncRNA from 1 species
CAACAAACUAGCAUCAUAGCUAAUUUGGCUUUUACACAUAAACAUCGCUUUUCAAGAAAAUAUGUGAAUCGAGUUUUUCCAAAGAAAUGUGCUAUUCUUUUCUUUCGUCAUCUUUCGAUGUUCAAGAAACCCGUUAGACAGGAGAAACUAGACAGUUACUUUAGACAGGUUUCACAAUGUGAUUGAGAGCUGUUUGUGACUGUACUUGUUUUUUAAUACAGACACACUGCCGGCCUACCACUGCCUCUCAGGAUCAUCCCAAAACUUAAACCUGAACAAUGUGCAUGUCAGGACAGGCCAACCACAGCACAGAGACACCUGCAGAUGGUUCCUCCUAUUAUUCCCUCUCUGUGUGGCGACAGAUCUUCUAUAACACGACGCAUGUGUACAGAGAACAUUUUGAGGGGCCACGGUCUUAGCAUGAAAAACACAACAACCAAAGAUUCAAAAGACCUCAAAUUUUGGGCAGCCUGUGUUUGGUUUCUGAGCUCUUGCCUAAUUGCAUGCAGGGAUUGAGUCACUCUGGGCUGUUGCUCGGCCAGUCUCUGAGCUGUAAAACAAACCCAAAGUGGAGUUAACUGCGGUCAAGGUGUGUUAUUGUGUGUGUGUGUGCUGGAACAAGAGAACCAGAUGAUGAGGGAGAACUCUGCAUCAUCGCAUGACAUCAUCACUCACUGAUUCACUUCUCCAAUUUACAGGAAACGUUUUAUUUUUUUCUCACUUCGUAAACUGAGAACCAAGCCCUCACGGAGAUAAAAAUACCAAAACAGUGAUGCAGGAAACGACCCAACCAGCUGUUCUGCUCAAGAGCUCAUAUGGUAUGUUUCACAACACCAGCAAUCAUAGCAAAUGUCAACCUGACAAGUGCGCUUGAUAAAAAACUGCCAUGAGCACUGUGAGAUGUGUACUUCAAGAACUUGGACUGGAGUAGUGCAUGCUUGACAUUUUUUCUGUCACCUGUACAUUGUGUAUAAACCAGAUACCAGAGAUUCUUCGGCAUGUUUCAAAAACAAAUGUUUAUCUCUGUGAAAAUGAAAGAUAACAUGUUUGAUAGUCAAUGGCUGAAUGCAGUGUGAACUGAUUGUAGUGCAACGCCGCAGCCAAUUUUCAGCAUUGCGUCUGCUGGAGUGUCAAUCAUCACGUUGGUGGUUAUUGCUUCUGAUAAAACUGCCAUUUAUUGAGAGUUGAUUGGUGCUUGUUUGUUUUUGCUGAGCUUUGAAGAACAGUUCAAGAAAUCAAAUCUGUCAUCAUUUAUUAGCACUGGUGUCAUUCAAAAUCUGCAGGAUGUUCUGAAUUUUAUAAAGAGAUUUUUUAAACAUU